rnacentral:misc_RNA from 1 species
AAAAUUAUUAAUAAACCCCUAAAAAUUUUUAAAAUAUUGAGGCCUAGUGCCCAAUCAAAAUUUGAUAAGUAAUAGUAAAAAAAAAAAAAAUUUUUUUGAGAAACUACUACUAUGUCUAUACCCCUACAAAAUUUUAAGUCCUAUUAAAAUUUUAUUGGGGCCAGUGCCCACAUAAUUUAUAUGGCAAUAGUAAAAAAUACUAAUAUUUUUGAUAAAUUAUCACUGUCACGACCCAACUUAUGGGCCAGACCAGCACUAAAACCUG